GAUGAACGCUGGCGGCGUGCUUAACACAUGCAAGUCGAACGAAGCACCUCUCCAGAUGAUUGACACAGCUUGCUGUAGAUUGAUUCAUUUGAGGUGACUGAGUGGCGGACGGGUGAGUAACGCGUGGGUAACCUGCCUCAUAGAGGGGGACAACAGUUGGAAACGACUGCUAAUACCGCAUAGUAAGAAGAAUUCGCAUGUUUUCUUCUUGAAAGAUUUAUCGCUAUGAGAUGGACCCGCGUCUGAUUAGCUAGUUGGUAAGGUAACGGCUUACCAAGGCGACGAUCAUUAGCCGGCUUGAGAGAGUGAACGGCCACAUUGGGACUGAGACGCGGCCCAAACUCCUACGGGAGGCAGCAGUGGGGAAUAUUGCACAAUGGGGGAAACCCUGAUGCAGCGACGCCGCGUGGGUGAAGAAGUAUUUCGGUAUGUAAAGCUCUAUCAGCAGGGAAGAUAAUGACGGUACCUGACUAAGAAGCCCCGGCUAACUACGUG
rnacentral:rRNA from 1 species